CAAGGCAUGCCUCAGUAGCGGCGAGUGAAGCGGCAAGAGCUCAGAUUUGAAAUCGUGCUUUGCGGCACGAGUUGUAGAUUGCAGGUUGGAGUCUGUGUGGAAGGCGGUGUCCAAGUCCCUUGGAACAGGGCGCCCAGGAGGGUGAGAGCCCCGUGGGAUGCCGGCGGAAGCAGUGAGGCCCUUCUGACGAGUCGAGUUGUUUGGGAAUA
rnacentral:rRNA from 1 species